GCAUAGUGAGCAUGGUAGUUUGUCCGAGUUGAAUUGGUUUAAAGUCAAAUCGAGGUAAUGAACACACAUUUGUUUCAUGUAACUCACUGGAUCGUGAAUAAGCAAAACAGCAUUUAGUACAACGAUGCCGUUCGUCUGUGCACAAGGCCACGAGCAUCAAGACAAAAAAGGAAGAAAUGACUGUAACAAGUACCAUACAAAAAAGUUAGAUCAUCAACUGGAACUGAAUGAACAGAAAUUCAGACAUACCAAGGAAAUGAUUGGUUGUCAUCUACCUGCUUCUUUCAUGAUAAACCAUGGUAGAAAGUCCAACGUUCAGGCGAUAGAGUACUAGAUCAUCGUGAUGUCGUAGACGGAAUUUAACAAACCCACAUCAGAUAAAUCAUUAACUGUUAUUAACAUGCUGAAAACGUUUGCUUGGUCCGCAAUAUUACCAUUUAACUGAUAUGUGUUUAGAGCCUUUCACACUGUAUAAGUGUUAG